GGUGCGAUGGUGUAGAUGCAGCACGUCUCAAUCAUGAGAAAGUCAAGGGUUCGAAUCCCUGUCCACCC